UUCUCGCAGUCGCCCAGUCGCCGACGCAGAGAGCAGAGUCGCAGCACCGGCACGCAGCCACGCACCACGCAGCUUGCCUCUCCUUCCCUUGCGAGUUGCGACACCCGAGAGAGCAGAAGCAGAGCAGCAGCGGCAGCGCACCAGGCCACCAGCGCCUUCGGCCUUCACCUCUCCAUCUCGCAUCUCGCAUCUCGCCUUUCCUUCCCCGUGCUUCACUGCUUCUUCUCCCCCUCGCCGUGCGCUCGUGCCCGUGGGUUGAUUCUUGAUUCUUAUUGUUGGGCAUACGUUUGCUGCGCUUCUGCUUCACUGAAGAGUAGCAGCAGCAAUGGAGGGCUUGAAGGUUUCAGAUGCUAAUCUAGUCGUAUAUGUUCAUCCUUCAAAAAGUAACAAAGUUCAUCAAGCGGUUCUCAAUGAGCUCAGCACUUUGCUUUUCACGUUCAGUGAAAUCUUUGAUGGAGUUGUGUUAGCCUAUGACGUCAACUUCCUUGAGAAAUGUGCAAAAGUUCUUUCUGGAGUUCAUCCUUAUUUUGGUGUUACACUAAAGGCAAAGUUGUUACUUUUUUCCCCAAAGCCAAAUAUGCUUUUAGAAGCGAAGGUGGUAAAGCUUACGCAAGAAUCCAUUCAUGCCAUUGUGCUUGGCUUUUCUUCUGCAAUAAUAGCUGACAAGGACAUUAGGGAAGAGUUCACAUACAGAAAUAAACAUGGCCAAGGUAGGUACAUAAGCAGAUUGCACAAGCGGCAUGUGAUAAAGGUUGGAACCAUGAUACGCUUUGAAGUCAAGAGCUUUGAUGAGGAAAUACUUCAUGUUUUUGGAUCCCUGAAGCUAGAUACCACAGGCAGCAUUCAUUGGUUAGAUAAGAACUUGGAAGAUGUUCCCCAAAGUGACAGAAGUGCAAAGAAGAAGAGAGAAAAUGAGGGAGAAUCGCUAAUUUUUGAGCAAAAUGCUAUGGUUGAGGAACCAAUUUUCUUGGACAAUGCACACGCGAAAAAGCCAAAGAAACAAAGAAUUAAAGAGGAAUCCUGAAGUUGAAAGUAGCAGGGGAACUCUCUCUUGUAUGUAUUUUGUUUUCCCAGAGGGCUUUCACAUUAUUUUGCAGCUUGGCAACUGUCUAAUGCCCAAGAAACAGCAGCUUCAUGUAUCACUAGAAAACAUGAAAAGAGAAGGGAAAGAGGCCAAGAAAUCUUAACAAUACCUUGAGUUAGUUUUGGUCUUAGACACAAACAGAUUUAUUUACAAGCAUCAAAACUCAAAUAUGUUAAACCUUGUAACCCAUAUUCGGCUUUAAUUUAAAUCCAAGUUUGUAUGUCCUA